rnacentral:miRNA from 1 species
AUUUCGACUAAUAACACAAUG